rnacentral:rRNA from 1 species
GGCGCAAGCCUGAUCCAGCAAUGCCGCGUGAGUGAAGAAGGCCUUCGGGUUGUAAAGCUCUUUUGUCAGGGAAGAAACGGCUGUGGCUAAUAUCCACGGCUAAUGACGGUACCUGAAGAAUAAGCACCGGCUAACUACGUGCCAGCAGCCGCGGUAAUACGUAGGGUGCAAGCGUUAAUCCGGAAUUACUGGGCGUAAAGCGUGCGCAGGCGGUUUUGUAAGUCUGACGUGAAAUCCCCGGGCUCAACCUGGGAAUUGCGAUGGAGACUGCAAGGCUAGAAUCUGGCAGAGGGGGGUAGAAUUCCACGUGUAGCAGUGAAAUGCGUAGAGAUGUGGAGGAACACCGAUGGCGAAG